AAGACAAUAAAAUUAAAAAUAACUACAAAUAUUUUUAAUGACUAAUUUUGGUAGAAAGUGGGAAUUCUGAGAGAAUAUGAAGCUUCAAAUGAUCUCAAACGAAUUUCGCUGGGGACAUUUUUAAAAUCAGUUAUUUUAUUCGAUAAUAUAUUACACAUGAAACUUAUUGCACCAAAUAAACAAUUAUUAGUAGGACUGGUGUGCUUGUGGCUUUCUACUAAAAACGAAUGCGGGAUUAUUCGAAAGGCAUCAGAAAUAGCUCAUUUAAUAAGCGACAGGUACACAGUGAAAGAAAUAUUAGAGAUGGAAAUGGCAAUUCUGACUUAUUUUAAAGGAGAUUUUAAUUUCCCGGACCCCACUGAUUUUAUCGCUUAUAUUAUUUAUAAAUGGUUAGGAUUUGAAAGUACGGUAAGUUAAGUUAAUCAAGACGAUUUUUUUUAACCACAAUCCAACAUUCAAGAAGUAAAAAUAAAAUGCAUAAAGCGAGUGUUACUAACCGUCAUUCAGGCAUUUUGUACUCGAAAAGUACACUGCAGUUCUUUAAGAAUUUUGACUACCCUCCCCCUUUUAAACGCCCCGUAAAGUUUUGCUUUAAACCCUCCCCCCUCUUAAACUUACAAAACAUCGCUUGU